CACUGGAGUGUCAACACUUAAUACUAGUUAUGUAGAAUUACAACUUUAUAUUUAUUACAGUAAAUACACAGGCAUGUAAGGAAAAAUUCUAGAACAGUUUUUCUUAGUAUGGUAAAAAUUUUAAUCACCAUUUCACUUUUGAAGAUCAUUCUCUCUUGCACAGAGCACUAAAUUCAGUACGAGAUCUGCUAUGAUGUUUCUCUCUUAUAUGUAACCAAGAAAUUUCCCAUGCUGUCACUAAGAAUCAGGACCUAAAAUUAUAUUGGAAAUAUCAUCAAAGGAUAAAUCAUACUGGAUCUUCUUUUGGUUACAUUUAUAGCUUCACUGCUUCUCAAUAUUGGACCAGUUUCUUAAAACUAUUUUCCAGGAAUAGACAAACCCUACCUGCAAACCAAGAAGACAGAUUUUGGCCUAUGUUUAGCAAUAUUCUCUUGCCAUGAUGGAGAGUAUCCUCUCAUGAACAACGAUUAUAAAUCUGUCAAUCACCCUAUGUAACUUCUCAAAUGAAGCAGCUAAAGCCAUAGCUGCCCAAUAAAAAUCUUUAAACUCUUUAGCCACAGUAGUAAUGGAUAACAGAAUACCCCUAGACUAAGUAUUGGUGGAACAGGAAAGAGUUUCUAUGGUAGCUAACAUAUCAUGUUGUGUUUACAUCAAUACAUCUUCUGAAGUUGAAACACACAUGAAAUAAGAAGACAACAAGCUAAUUAAUCACAACAAAUUCCCAGGGAAGAACCAGGUGCCAACUAGUUCUCAGAUAUAUUUUUCUGAAUCCCACAUAGAAUUCAAUGUAUGCCCCCAAGCCAUAUGAAAAUUAAGACUUUACCUAUUACUAAUGCUCAUUUUUGGACAUUUGGUUAUCAAAUGCUGCCUCUGAUGUUAAACCUUUAAACUGUUAAAAGAGAAACCAAUGUAUUAAUAAUGCUAAAUGUUAAUAUUGUACCAGAUAUUAGAGAAUAUCUUCAACUUAAUGCAAAAUGAUUUCAUCCUUUAGGCCCAAACCUGCACCCCUAGUCAGUAGGAAAAAGCUAGAAUGGAUGUUGCCCCUAAUCCCUCAUGACUGAAGAAUGCACAUAGAACAGGGGGGAUUUAAACCAUGACCCAAAGAUUUAGUUAAAGAAACCAAUGGCUAAAAGAAGUUAUUGAGUUUGCAGGUUGGCAGAUUAAAAAAAGAAGAAGAGGAAACAACAACAACAACAACAAAACAACAACAACAACAACAAAAACUUGCUGAAACACUGAAACUCCCUUUGCUUAUUAACUAAAGAACACUGACUGAAAUUGGUUGGACUCAAUAUGGCCAACUAGAGUCUGCACAGAAAGAGCUUGCUGACAUUGCAACCUGAAUUUUCAGUGCAUGUUUCAUAACAGCUCCCUCCAACUUUGUACAUGUGAUCCAUGCGAUAGAAUGAAGUUAACUGUAUGCCCAGGGACUUUCUAGACCUUCUCUUUCCUUCCACCAAUUAUUUGAUCAUCUCAGAAUCCACCUCCUGAAACUUUUUGUAUACAAAUACUGCUUUGAAGCCAGCAUGGGGAGAAAAACUUGAGUUUGACAUGCCUGUCUUCUUGUGAGUCAACUUGCAAAAUAAAGCUUCCCUUUCCUCAAA
rnacentral:lncRNA from 1 species